UACGUAGGAUGCAAGCGUUGUCCGGAUUUACUGGGCGUAAAGCGCGCGCAGGCGGCAUGGCAAGUAAGGUGUGAAAUCCAUCUGCUCAACGGGUGGGGUGCACUUUAGACUGCCAAGCUAGAGGUCGGUAGGGGAGACUGGAAUUCCUGGUGUAGCGGUGAAAUGCGCAGAUAUCAGGAGGAACACCGGUGGCGAAGGCGGGUCUCUGGGCAACAACGUGACGCUGGAGGAGCGAAAGCCGUGGGGAGCGAACAGG
rnacentral:rRNA from 1 species